UACGUAGGGGGCUAGCGUUGUCCGGAAUCAUUGGGCGUAAAGGGUGCGUAGGCGGGUCUUUAAGUCAGGGGUGAAAUCCUGGAGCUCAACUCCAGAACUGCCUUUGAUACUGAAGAUCUUGAGUUCGGGAGAGGUGAGUGGAACUGCGAGUGUAGAGGUGAAAUUCGUAGAUAUUCGCAAGAACACCAGUGGCGAAGGCGGCUCACUGGCCCGAUACUGACGCUGAGGCACGAAAGCGUGGGGAGCGAACAGG
rnacentral:rRNA from 1 species